AUGGGAACGCGAAGAACCUUACCUACUCUUGACAUCCAGAGAACUUUCCAGAGGUGGAUUGGUGCCUUCGGGAACUCUGAGACAGGUGCUGCAUGGCUGUCGUCAGCUCGUGUUGUGAAAUGUUGGGUUAAGUCCCGCAACGAGCGCAACCCUUAUCCUUUGUUGCCAGCGGUUCGGCCGGGAACUCAAAGGAGACUGCCAGUGAUAAACUGGAGGAAGGUGGGGAUGACGUCAAGUCAUCAUGGCCCUUACGAGUAGGGCUACACACGUGCUACAAUGGCGCAUACAAAGAGAAGCGACCUCGCGAGAGCAAGCGGACCUCAUAAAGUGCGUCGUAGUCCGGAUUGGAGUCUGCAACUCGACUCCAUGAAGUCGGAAUCGCUAGUAAUCGUAGAUCAGAAUGCUACGGUGAAUACGUUCCCGGGUCUUGUACACACCG
rnacentral:rRNA from 1 species